rnacentral:rRNA from 1 species
GAUGAACGCUGGCGGCGUGCCUAAUACAUGCAAGUCGAGCGAACGGACGAGAAGCUUGCUUCUCUGAUGUUAGCGGCGGACGGGUGAGUAACACGUGGAUAACCUACCUAUAAGACUGGGAUAACUUCGGGAAACCGGAGCUAAUACCGGAUAAUAUUUUGAACCGCAUGGUUCAAAAGUGAAAGACGGUCUUGCUGUCACUUAUAGAUGGAUCCGCGCUGCAUUAGCUAGUUGGUAAGGUAACGGCUUACCAAGGCAACGAUGCAUAGCCGAGCUGAGAGGGUGAUCGCCCACACGAGAACUGAGCCACGGUCCAGACUCCUACGGGAGGCAGCAGUAGCGAAUCGGCCGCAGUGGGCGAAAGCCUGACGGAACAACCCCGCGUCAGUUAUAAAGGUCUUCGGAGCGUAAAACUCUCCUAUUAGGGAAGAACAUAUGUGUAAGUAACUGUGCCCAUCUUGACGGUACCUAAUCAGAAAGCCACGGCUAACUACGUG